rfam:Stegodyphus mimosarum contig99745, whole genome shotgun sequence.
GCCUUCAUAGUGUAAUGGUCAGAGCACUCGCCGCGUAUUCGAGAGGUCCGAGGUUCGAAUCCCGGCGAGGGUA